rnacentral:rRNA from 1 species
UACAGAGGUCUCAACCGUUGUUCGGAUUCAUUGGGCGUAAAGGGUGCGUAGGCGGUCGUGCAAGUCGGAUGUGAAAUCUUAGGGCUCAACCCUGAAACUGCAUUCGAUACUGCAUGGCUUGAGUACUGGAGGGGAGACUGGAAUUUACGGUGUAGCAGUGAAAUGCGUAGAGAUCGGGAGGAACACCGGUGGCGAAGGCGGGUCUCUGGGCAAUUCCUGACGCUGAGGCGCGAAAGCGUGGGGAGCAAACGGG